UACGUAGGGGGCAAGCGUUGUUCGGAAUCAUUGGGCGUAAAGGGCGCGUAGGUGGUUCUGUAUGUCUACCGUGAAAGCGUACGGCUCAACCGUAUUUUGUCGGUAGAAACUGCAGGACUUGAGGCUGGGAGGGGCUGGUGGAAUUCCCUGUGUAGCGGUGAAAUGCGUAGAGAUGGGGGAGAACACUCGUGGCGAAGGCGGCCAGCUAGACCAGUUCUGACACUGAGGCGCGACAGCGUGGGGAGCAAACAGG
rnacentral:rRNA from 1 species